rnacentral:rRNA from 1 species
UGCAGUCGAACGGUGAACACGGAGCUUGCUCUGUGGGAUCAGUGGCGAACGGGUGAGUAACACGUGAGCAACCUGCCCCUGACUCUGGGAUAAGCGCUGGAAACGGCGUCUAAUACUGGAUAUGUGACGUGAUCGCAUGGUCUGCGUCUGGAAAGAAUUUCGGUUGGGGAUGGGCUCGCGGCCUAUCAGCUUGUUGGUGAGGUAAUGGCUCACCAAGGCGUCGACGGGUAGCCGGCCUGAGAGGGUGACCGGCCACACUGGGACUGAGACACGGCCCAGACUCCUACGGGAGGCAGCAGUGGGGAAUAUUGCACAAUGGGCGCAAGCCUGAUGCAGCAACGCCGCGUGAGGGAUGACGGCCUUCGGGUUGUAAACCUCUUUUAGCAGGGAAGAAGCGAAAGUGACGGU